CCGUCCUUCCAUCCCUCCAUCCCUCCAUCCCUCCAUCCCUCCAUCCUCCGUGUCCGCCGGGCCGGGCCGGGCCGCACCCCGCGGGAUCCGCAGCCAUCGCGGGCCGAGGCGGUGCCGAUCCCCAUCCCGAUCCUGAUCCCGAUCCCGGCGGCCCCGGGGCCGCGCUCCCGCCGCGCUCCCCCCGCACAUCCCCGGCCAUGCGGGGGAGGCGGGCGGCGGCUCCGCGCUGAGCCCCGGGCACAGGGACAGAGCCCCGGGCACAGGGAGCCGAGCUCGGGGCUCCGCCGCAGGCACUUGGAAAGUUAUCCAGCUGUUCAGUGCUGAGGGGGUGCUUUGGGAGCAUGGCCGGGGCAGGACUCCCAGUGCUGGCCUGGAGUGCAGGUUGUGAUGAGGGCAGCUCAUCCCCGCUCCCAGGGCGGGUUUUAUCCCUGUGAUCCCUCAGCCCCUUCCCGGUGUUUCCCGGCUCCGGAGCCCGAUCCCAGCGGAGGAUGAGGAGGUUCAUUUACUGCAAGGUGGUUGUGGCCACGUCCCUGCUGUGGGUGCUGCUGGACGUGUUCCUGCUGCUCUACUUCAGCGAGUGCAACAAGUGUGAUGACAAGAAGGAGAGGUCUCUGCUGCCCGCCCUCAGGGGUGAGUGCCACCUCCAGCACCUCGGAAAUUAAAUAGAUUUAUUUAUUUUAAAUAUUUGGCUUUGGGGAUGUUUGUCUAAAUGAUUUUUCAAGUCAAAAAAAUCCCAGGAGCUGAAGUACUUUCAGUGCUGCCUCGGUGUUUUCUCAGCAGCUUGGGUUGUCUUCGUGUUUCGUGGGGUGGUUUGGGUUGCAAGGGGCUUAAAUGGCCAGUUAAGUGAUAUAUUGAAAUGUU